GAGCAAACAAGAAGUCAGAACUUUGUCAUCAUGGACAGCUCUUUGAAUCAGAGCACCCUCCUAGAAGGACUGCCUGAGACACCUGGAAGACUCUCUUUCUUUUGUCCUUCUGAGCUUCACUGGAUGAGAAGACUCCAGACACUGAGAGAACUUCCAGGGUGAGAAGAUAGCUGAGUCAUGGUGAUGCUAUCCAGGAAAGUCAGAAGCACAGCCUAGAGGGAAAUGAAGCAUGGCCCUCCUGGGCCCAUCCCCAAAAUGGUGGCCCUCAAAGGAACUCAUCAAUGAAAAUCAUCAUUUGAGCUUUCUUAUGUACUUAUCUCAUUCUUACUUGUAUUAUUUUUAUUUGGAUCCAUGGUUUAUCUCCCUACAAGGCUAUAAAUGUCUCAAUGGCAAAGAGUAGGUCAUUUUUUUCAUCUUUGCAUGCCAGCACCCAGCAGAGUAAACUAGACAUACUAGGCACGGGGUAAAUAUUUGUUGAAAUGAAUUGAAUCUAUUAAAUUUACUUUAGAUGA